UUGCAACGUUGAUAGUGAAAAAUCGGCAAAAGUGGCAGAGAGACUGCGGAUGAAUAAAUCAAAAUCCGUACGGUAUUUGGCCAGAGAGGCUUUUGCCGAAAAUAGCCCGUCUAUCGUCACCUGCCAGUCAGUCCCACGGCCCUAUAUCUUGUUACGCACCUUACUGCAACGUCCACUAUACAGGAUGCAGUUUUACCUGCGACAAGGAACGCGUAAAAGUUUAAGAAAGGUGAAUCACCACCUCGUCGGGUUUAUUUGCAUUUUACCAGGCGUCAAAGACCAGCAAACCUUUAUCAACCGUAAAUCACUUCGAUAUGUAUCGGCUUAUAACGGUUAUGAUCGGAGAUCGUGGGGACAAU